UCUUGUUCCAUGUAGAGGAAUGAAAGAUGUGUCAUAGCAUGCGUAGGGAGCCUGCCGAAGGAUCGGUACUGUAUUUGUAAGAGGUUGGAGGUGAUCAAAAAAAAAGAUAUGUGCACACCUCAUCUUCUCAUAUUACACCCACGUGCACUCUUUGUAGGCCAUCUGGCGUAUGUGUUCAUAAUACACUCUUAUAAAAGGUUUCAGAAUGUGAAAUGUAUAUCUUAAAUUAAUACAACUUUCAACAACGGAUCUCUUGGCUCUCGCAUUGAUGAAGAACGCAGCGAAAUGCGAUAAGUAAUGUGAAUUGCAGAAUUCAGUGAAUCAUCGAAUCUUUGAACGCACCUUGCGCUCCUUGGUAUUUCGAGGAGCAUGCCUGUUUGAGUAUCAUUAAAAUUUCAAUCCUUUGUUCAAAUUUUUUUGAUUAAAGGCUUUGGACUUUGGAGGUGUUGCUGGUCUUUCUUUAAAGUCGGCUCCUCUUAAAUGCAUUAGCUUGGACCUUUUGCAGAUAAGCUUUAGUUUGAUAAAUAUCUAUGCUAAUUGUCUUUGAAGCAACAAAUGCCAGCUUCCAAUUGAACUUGCUUUAUUGCAAUUCCUUCUUAAGUUGAUCUCAUCUC
rnacentral:rRNA from 1 species